AUUUAUAUAAUAUAUCUAGUAUAUUUGACUUCCAAUCAAAAAGUUUUUUUAAAAUAUAAAUA
rnacentral:tRNA from 2 species